rnacentral:rRNA from 1 species
CUCUGGCGCACGCAGGUCACACCCCACCUACGGGGCGCCGGUGUCUUCGGCUACGUCGACGGCACCUCGCCGGAACCGGCCAGACUCCACGUCACCAAGGACAAAGACGGCAAGGAGACUUCUGCGCCCAACCCUCUCCACCCUCUCUGGGUCAGGGAGGACCAACAAGUGCUCGGCUACCUGCUGAGUACUCUCUCCAAGGAGGUUCUGGUCGCGGUCACCGCGAUCACCACGGCGCGUGAACUUUGGGUGGCAUUGGCGGGCAUGUUCUCGUCCCACUCCCUCAGCCGCGUCAACAACAUCCGCACUGCGCUCAUCAAUGUGCAGAAGGGCAACCAGUCGGUCGUCGCCUACUUCGCCUCUCUACGCGGCCUCGCUGAUGAACUCGCCGCCGCCGGGAAACCCAUCCAGGAUGACGAGUUGAUCUCGUACAUUCUCCAUGGGCUCGACAUCGACUACCAGCCGCUCGUCUCCGCCCUCGACGCCCGCGUCACGCCCGUCACGCUUGAUGAGCUAUAUGCCAUGCUGAGUAACUUCGAUCAGCGCAUG